rnacentral:sRNA from 1 species
GGCACAACAAACGAAAAAGUUUGCAAUUCCAGGGCGCUUUUUUUUUGCUUCAUCCAGCAAGUAAAAAACAACCACUGGAAUUCACUUUACGCACAAAACGACUUUAGAACGCAGCAGGAUGUGGAAAGCGUAGGA